UCAAAUAUUAAAACUGCCUUUUACAGUAUGAAUAAGCUCCGUAAAUUUAUUAAAGUUCAAAAAGAUUCUCUUCCAAUUUCUUUUCGUAAAAAUGUAGUUUAUAAAGUCUCUUGCCGCGAUUGCGAUGCGUCUUACGUCAGGCAGACCGGUAGACAGUUAAAAACGUAUUUCCGAACAUCGAAAUCACAUCCAUAGAUACCUCUACCAAUUCUGUUAUUACUGAUCAUAGAAUUCAAUUGUGUCAUAAAUUUGACUGAAACGGCGUUCAGAUACUUCACCAUGAGAGGUUUUUUCACAAACAACUCAUCUCAGAAAUGUUACACAUUAAUCAACAAAGAAAUGGCCUUAACUACAGUCUGACACUGAAUGCGUCUGUAUCAUGCUUACUUAUCGAUCGUCAAUAAAUAACCUACGUGUUUUGUUUAUCUUACGUACUAUUUGUUUCGCGCUUAUUUAUAUUAUACUAUAUCAAAGCUUACGCGAAGCAUCGGUUUACUGGCUUAGUGCCUCUUUGACCAUCGUACUGUACGGUUCUUAUUAUAACUAAGUCCGCAACGUUUCAUUUUAAAUUUCUGAAUUUUGACAGUACUUACUUGUACCUGCGAUGUCUUAUUGUAAUAAGUUUAACUUGGAGCGCUAUUCGAUGCUGCGAUCUCUGUUUCUGCUCUUUUCAUUUACAGUGUAAGCUUGUACACAUUUUCAAGCCAAAUAACUCGUAAUGCAUGUCACUUCUCGACUAGGAAGCCCUCAACCUCACUACAGACAAAACGCAAUUUAACUCAUUUUUUUAUGUAUUUACGCUGAGGAUGGCUCAAAACUAGAGCCAAACGUUUGCGAUAUUUAUAAUUAAAUUUUUAUGAAAAUUUUCCAUGUAA
rnacentral:lncRNA from 13 species